AUUGAACGCUGGCGGCAUGCUUUACACAUGCAAGUCGAACGGAUGAUGGGAGCUUGCUCCUGGAUUCAGCGGCGGACGGGUGAGUAAUGCCUAGGAAUCUGCCUGGUAGUGGGGGACAACGUUUCGAAAGGAACGCUAAUACCGCAUACGUCCUACGGGAGAAAGCAGGGGACCUUCGGGCCUUGCGCUAUCAGAUGAGCCUAGGUCGGAUUAGCUUGUGGGUGAGGUAAUGGCUCACCAAGGCGACGAUCCGUAACUGGUCUGAGAGGAUGAUCAGUCACACUGGAACUGAGACACGGUCCAGACUCCUACGGGAGGCAGCAGUGGGGAAUAUUGGACAAUGGGCGAAAGCCUGAUCCAGCCAUGCCGCGUGUGUGAAGAAGGUCUUCGGAUUGUAAAGCACUUUAAGUUGGGAGGAAGGGUUGUAGAUUAAUACUCUGCAAUUUUGACGUUACCGACAGAAUAAGCACCGGCUAACUCUGUGCCAGCAGCCGCCGUAAUAC
rnacentral:rRNA from 1 species